AUGAACGCUAGCGAUAGGCUUAACACAUGCAAGUCGAGGGGCAGCACAAGGGUAGCAAUACUCUGGUGGCGACCGGCGUACGGGUGCGUAACACGUAUGCAACCUUCCUGUAAGUGUGGGAUAGCCUCCUGAAAGGGAGAUUAAUACCUCAUGAUAUGUAUUUGCUGCAUGGCAUUUACAUUAAACAUUUAUGGCUUACAGAUGGGCAUGCGUUCCAUUAGGCAGUUGGUGUGGUAACGGCUCACCAAACCUACGAUGGAUAGGGGUUCUGAGAGGAAGGUCCCCCACACUGGAACUGAGACACGGUCCAGACUCCUACGGGAGGCAGCAGUGAGGAAUAUUGGUCAAUGGGCGCGAGCCUGAACCAGCCACGUCGCGUGAAGGAUGACGGCCUUAUGGGUUGUAAACUUCUUUUACAGGGGAAUAAAGUGAGUCACGUGUGAUUUUUUGCAUGUACCCUGUGAAUAAGCAUCGGCUAACUCCGUG
rnacentral:rRNA from 1 species